UACGUAGGGUGCGAGCGUUGUCCGGAAUUACUGGGCGUAAAGAGCUCGUAGGUGGUUUGUCGCGUCGGGAGUGAAAACUCAGGGCUUAACCCUGAGCCUGCUUCCGAUACGGGCAGACUAGAGGUAUGCAGGGGAGAACGGAAUUCCUGGUGUAGCGGUGGAAUGCGCAGAUAUCAGGAGGAACACCGGUGGCGAAGGCGGUCUCUGGGCAUUACCUGACGCUGAGGAGCGAAAGUGUGGGGAGCGAACAGG
rnacentral:rRNA from 1 species